rnacentral:rRNA from 1 species
AUGGAGGUGCUAAGCGUGUGCUUUGUGGUCGUUGCUACACUGUCCGCCACUUGGCUUCUCAAGCUCGCUGCACUUUCUUGUAAUAGUAUCAAGGCCAAGAAGCGGAUGGUGCUGCCUCCCGGGCCAUGGACUCUCCCGAUUAUCGGGAGCCUCCACCAUGUCAUCAGCCUUCUCCCGCAUCGCACGAUGAUGGAGCUUUCUCGCCGACACGGGCCGGUGAUGCUUUUGAGGCUAGGUGAGGUACCCACCGUAGUAGUUUCCAGCGCCAAGGCGGCGGCGCAGGUGAUGAAGACUAAUGAUCUCGUGUUCGCGAGCCGGCCAUUAAGCCCAACACAGGACAUCAUAAGCUGCGGCGGAAAGGGCAUCGCCUUAGCACCCUACGGUGACCACUGGCGUCAGAUGCGGAAGGUGUGCAUCCUGGAGCUCCUCAGCUCCAAGCAGGUGAACCGCAUGGAGGGCAUCAGGGCUGAGGAGGUGGGUAAUCUCCUCCGCACCGUCGCCGCCGCGCCGGCGGCCGACCCAGUCAACCUCAGCAAGAAGGUGUCGGCCCUCAGCAACAACAUCGUGUGUCGGGCUGUGUUCGGUAGCAGGUGCACGCGACAGGGUGAGUACCUCCGCGAGCACGACAAGAUCCUCGCGCUGCUUAGCGGUUUCUGCCUCGCCGACCUCUUCCCGUCGUCGCGGUUGGUGCGGUGGCUGAGUAAUGGUGAGAGACGCAUGAAGAGAAGCCACGACCGUAUCCAUCUCAUCAUUGCCGACAUUGUCGAGAGGCGCAAGGCGGUGCGAGCUUCCGGCGACGUUGUCUGCAGCACCGACUAUGAUCUGCUGGACGUGCUGCUCAGGCUGCAGGAAGAGGACUCCCUGGCAUUCCCCAUAAACAUGGAGACUAUAAGCCUCGUUAUCUUUGAAAUGUUUGGUGCUGCCACUGAGACCACAGCAGCCACUUUGGAGUGGGCUAUGUCGGAGCUCGUGGCAAACCAUGAUACUAUGGCCAAGGCACAGUUAGAGGUGCGUGAGCUGCUAGGUGAAGACCGAGCGGUCAUCACCAAUACAAACCUCGGCGAACUCCACUACUUGCAUAUGGUAAUUAAGGAGGUCCUCCGGAUGCAUCCUCCUCUUCCCCUGCUCCUCCCUAGAGAGACCAGAGAGGACAUGCCCAAAGGCACAAAUCUCUUUGUAAAUGCAUAUGCAAUUUCUCGAGAUCCUGAAUAUUGGGAUGACCCCGAAGAGUUUAAGCCAAGCAGGUUUGAAAACAAAAACGUGGAUUAUCAAGGGACAAACUUUGAAUUCACCCCCUUCGGGGCUGGGCGACGGCAGUGUCCCGGGAUGCUGUUCGGCACAUCGACUGUGGAGAUUGUAUUGGCAAAUCUUCUCUAUCACUUUGACUGGGUGCUUCCUAACGGGGCAGGCGCAGAGUCACUAGACAUGACCGAGAAGUCCGGGAUAAUUGUGCGUCGAAUGUCUGCCCUGCAGCUUAUGGCUAUUCCACAUGCAUGUAACCUCUAG